rnacentral:rRNA from 1 species
UUGAACGCUGGCGGCAUGGCUAAACAUGCAAGUCGAACGAACCCGCAAGGGUUAGUGGCGGAAGGGUGAGUACAAGUAUCGAAUGUACCCCGAGGUGGGGGAUAGGCACGGGAAACUGUGCGUAAUACCCCAUGAUCUCGAGAGAGCAAAGCUACGGCGCCUUGGGAGCAGCGAUAUGCCUAUCAGGUAGUUGGCGGGGUAAAAGCCCACCAAGCCGAAGACGGGUAGCCGGUGUGAGAGCACGACCGGCCACAUCGGGACUGAGACACUGCCCGGACUCCUACGGGAGGCUGCAGUAACGAAUAUUCCGCAAUGCGCGAAAGCGUGACGGAGCAAUGCCGCGUGCAGGAUGAAGCAGCUUCGCUGUGUAAACUGCUGUCAGGGGCUACUAACCAUGAAGAGCCCCAGAGGAAGGACCGGCUAAUCUCGUGCCAGCCGCCGCGGUAAU